rnacentral:lncRNA from 1 species
GAGGCAUCUGCAGCUGGACAGAGAAGUGGUGCUUUGUUUCUCUGUGCCUCAGUUUCCCUCUUGGUAAAAUAGGCAUGGUUCCUCCUAUGGAUGUAAGAAGGACCUAGGAACCUUUGCAAGGGCAGAGGAGUCCGCCCCUCUGGUCUGACUGGGAGACAAGGUGUUCCCCAAUCUGAUGGUGGGGACAAGGUGGCCCAACACAGUGGGAAAAAUAAGGAAACUAAGGAGCUCUCACCAAAUCCCAUGAGGGAGACAGGACUGUCCAAAUCCAAUGAAGAAGAUAAGAAGCUCCAGUCCUGUGCAGCAAGAACGAGUGUCCAGUCUAUAUUUCCAGUCUGCCAGGGGAGGUGCUGUUCUAGGCGCUGAGGAUGCAGCCGUGCACAAGACGGAUGAAAUCCCUGCCCUCAGGGGGCCGACAUUUGCGGAGUAAAUAAAGGAAAGGUAAAUAUCUUCCACGUCAGAUUGAAAAAUAAAGUCAGAAAGGGGA